rnacentral:tmRNA from 2 species
GGGGGUGCCGGGCUUCGAUAGAGGCUGCUGGCUACGCUGGCAUACCGAGGAAGCUCUGAUCCUCGUAAAUCACAAAGAGCAACAUAAUAAGUGCAAACUUGUUAUCAAAAGCUAAAGUUGCUGUAGCAAAUUUAUUUGCUGUCAGAGCUUUCGCUCCGGUAAUGGCUUAAUAGCCUGUUACCCAUCGCGCCGAUAAUACUCAGUAAUCGAACCGCGGUGUCAUUAACUGAGAGUAGCUAAUAUGGAGCGCCGACUGUAUAUUAGUGAAGUUACCCGGCUCGUCAAUCCAAUUUUCGUCCUCUUUUAUCGGGUUGAUUAAAUAACAAGAGACACUAAGUAUGUAGAAGGUUUAGUCAAAGUUAUCUACACGCGAGUUCAACUCUCGCCACCUCCACUG